GGCAGUAGUGAGGGGAUUUUUUGGUGUGGCUUAUUUUAGUUGUCGCCUAUUUACGUUUAUCGUUGCGAGUGCGUAGCCAAUGCGCGAAUAAAGCAACGAUACAAC
rnacentral:antisense_RNA from 1 species